rnacentral:rRNA from 1 species
AUUGAACGCUGGCGGCAUGCCUUACACAUGCAAGUCGAACGGCAGCACGGGAGCAAUCCUGGUGGCGAGUGGCGAACGGGUGAGCAAUGUAUCGGAACGUACCCAGUCGUGGGGGAUAACGUAGCGAAAGCUACGCUAAUACCGCAUACGAUCUAUGGAUGAAAGCGGGGGACCGUAAGGCCCCGCGCGAUUGGAGCGGCCGAUAUCAGAUUAGGUAGUUGGUGGGGUAAAGGCCUACCAAGCCGACGAUCUGUAGCUGGUCUGAGAGGACGACCAGCCACACUGGGACUGAGACACGGCCCAGACUCCUACGGGAGGCAGCAGUGGGGAAUUUUGGACAAUGGGCGCAAGCCUGAUCCAGCAAUGCCGCGUGCAGGAUGAAGGCCUUCGGGUUGUAAACUGCUUUUGUACGGAGCGAAAAGGCUCUCUCUAAUACAGGGGGCUCAUGACGGUACCGUAAGAAUAAGCACCGGCUAACUACGUGCCAGCAGCCGCGGUAAUAC